GAUGAACGCUGGCGGCGUGCUUAACACAUGCAAGUCGAACGGAAAGGCCAUGCGUUUGCUGGGUGGUCGAGUGGCGAACGGGGGAGUGACACGGGAGUAACAUCCCCUUGACAUUCUGAUAAAUUCAGGAAACUGGGGCUAAUACCCGAUAGGAGAUACUGCUGCAUGGUGGGGGAUGGAAAGAUUCGGCGGUUGGGGAUGGACUCGCGGCUUAUCAGCUUGUUGGUGGGGUAGUGGCUUACCAGGGCUUUGACGGGUAGCCGGCCUGAGAGGGGGACCGGGCACAUGGCGACUGAGAUACGGCCCAGUCGCCUACGGUAGGCAACGGGGGGGAGCAUGACACAGCAGGCGGGAGCCUGAUGUGACGGCGCCGCGUGCGGGAUGACGGGCUUUGGGUGGUAAACAGAUGUGGCAUGAGCCGAGGAGUGAGUGACGGUACCUGGUAAAGAAGCCCCGGCUAACUACGUG
rnacentral:rRNA from 1 species